AUGUAGAUGGCUGAAGUCAAUAAUUCUAGCAGCCUCCAGAAACAGGAUCUCAUUCAUAAGGUUCAGGAACAGGAACAAGAGAUUGUACAGUUAAGGAGACAUUUGUCAGAUUAUCCAGUGAGGGAAGCACAAGUAUGAAACGAAAAGUAUGUCUUGGAGAAGCGAAUUGCUUAUAUGCGUAUGGCCUUUGAUCAGCAGCAGCAGGACCUUGUUGAUGCUGCAUCUAAAGCUCUGUCAUACAGGCAAGACAUAAUGGAGGAAAAUAUUCGUUUAUCAUACCAAUUGCAGGUAUGCUUUUCUUGUCCUAGGAUUUUUUUUUUUUUUAAAUAAUG